GUGAUUUUUUCCCACAAAUUAAUACAAAGUAUCGGGGUAAAAUCUCAUUAGAACUUGUAAAUUACAAUUCAUUGUGUUAUCUUUAGAAAUUGAGACAUUUUCUUAAUGUAUUUACAUUUUCACUUGAACUCUCUCCCUCAACAUUGAUGAUCGAAUGAUCUGUCACGUGAAUCACAUGACAGAACAACCAUUAGGAUUCUCGUCACUGAACAUUUGUGCGUUGUUCAAGUAUGUCGUUGGUGGAGGAGGUGGUACAUAUGACGGUUGGUGGUAGCCAUACUCCAUGGCGUAGCCCGUAUGAGCGUUGUAACCGGGAUCGUACAUUGUUAGACCAUAGUCUUGAUUCAUGUAACUUUGGUUGUACACAGGCAUCGCGUAAUGUGUUUGUGCAUUGUAACCAUAAUACUCUAAUUUAUUCGCUUCGGACUUUGUCUCCACACCUUUACUUCCUUCGGCUUUUUGUUCACCCCCUUCUUUCUCUUUCUUCUCACCACUGCCACCACCACCACCUACUUUCUCUUUCUUCUCACCACCAUCACCACCGCCGCCACCACCUUCUUUCUCUUUCUUCUCUCCGCCACCGCCACCGCCUUCUUUCUUUUCGCCACCUCCAUCAUCUUUCUUAGGUGGGAUGAUUUCUACAUUUCUUUUCAAUUUAUCUUUCAAAUAAGGAAUUAAUUCCUUCAAGUCCAUUGUACCCUUAACAUUGACCAAAUCUUUUUCCGAAUCUACUUUGACUUCUUCUACCCCAUCAAUUUUCUUUAUAAUUCUCUUUAUUUUGUGUGCACACCCAUCACAAUGCAAUUGAAUCUUCAACACCACUGUACUUACUUGUGGCUCUUUAGGCUUCUUAUCUUCAGGUUUUUUCUCUUCUGCCUUUUUCUCAUCGGGUUUUUUAUCUCCACCGCCGGCGCCGGCGCCGGCGUCCUUUUUAGGCUGAGGAGAAACGAGCACCACCGUCUUCUUCGUCUUCAUCGCUACUUUCUCCCGGAGCCAUGCCGGAUCCACGUUCCCUUUCACCGUCAAUUUUCCACCGUCACAGUCCGUCUUCACGUCCUCCACACCUUCGAGAUGGCGAAUGGAACGUUUGACUUUUUUGGCACAGCCUUCACAAUGCAAAUCGAGUUUUAAAACUAUGACGGUAGGACCGGCAUCCUUUUUUCCACCGGCGGCGACAGCGUCACCGCCGCCGGACUUUUUUUCUCCGGCGUCAUUCUUCUUCUCUGCUACCUCUGCUUUAGUUUCUUCUUUUUUCUCACCCAUUUGAUAAAAUGAAAAUGGAUUAUAGAGAAAUU
rnacentral:misc_RNA from 1 species